GAACGCUAGCUACAGGCUUAACACAUGCAAGUCGAGGGGCAGCAUGGUCUUAGCUUGCUAAGGCCGAUGGCGACCGGCGCACGGGUGAGUAACACGUAUCCAACCUGCCGUCUACUCUUGGACAGCCUUCUGAAAGGAAGAUUAAUACAAGAUGGCAUCAUGAGUCCGCAUGUUCACAUGAUUAAAGGUAUUCCGGUAGACGAUGGGGAUGCGUUCCAUUAGAUAGUAGGCGGGGUAACGGCCCACCUAGUCUUCGAUGGAUAGGGGUUCUGAGAGGAAGGUCCCCCACAUUGGAACUGAGACACGGUCCAAACUCCUACGGGAGGCAGCAGUGAGGAAUAUUGGUCAAUGGGUGAGAGCCUGAACCAGCCAAGUAGCGUGAAGGAUGACUGCCCUAUGGGUUGUAAACUUCUUUUAUAAAGGAAUAAAGUCGGGUAUGGAUACCCGUUUGCAUGUACUUUAUGAAUAAGGAUCGGCUAACUCCAUGCCAGCAGCCGCGGUAAUACGGAGGAUCCGAGCGUUAUCCGGAUUUAUUGGGUUUAAAGGGAGCGUAGAUGGAUGUUUAAGUCAGUUGUGAAAGUUUGCGGCUCAACCGUAAAAUUGCAGUUGAUACUGGAUAUCUUGAGUGCAGUUGAGGCAGGCGGAAUUCGUGGUGUAGCGGUGAAAUGCUUAGAUAUCACGAAGAACUCCGAUUGCGAAGGCAGCCUGCUAAGCUGCAACUGACAUUGAGGCUCGAAAGUGUGGGUAUCAAACAGGAUUAGAUACCCUGGUAGUCCACACGGUAAACGAUGAAUACUCGCUGUUUGCGAUAUACAGCAAGCGGCCAAGCGAAAGCGUUAAGUAUUCCACCUGGGGAGUACGCCGGCAACGGUGAAACUCAAAGGAAUUGACGGGGGCCCGCACAAGCGGAGGAACAUGUGGUUUAAUUCGAUGAUACGCGAGGAACCUUACCCGGGCUUAAAUUGCAGAUGAAUUACGGUGAAAGCCGUAAGCCGCAAGGCAUCUGUGAAGGUGCUGCAUGGUUGUCGUCAGCUCGUGCCGUGAGGUGUCGGCUUAAGUGCCAUAACGAGCGCAACCCUUGUUGUCAGUUACUAACAGGUCAUGCGGAGGACUCUGACAAGACUGCCAUCGUAAGAUGUGAGGAAGGUGGGGAUGACGUCAAAUCAGCACGGCCCUUACGUCCGGGGCUACACACGUGUUACAAUGGGGGGUACAGAGGGCCGCUACCACGCGAGUGGAUGCCAAUCCCAAAAACCUCUCUCAGUUCGGACUGGAGUCUGCAACCCGACUCCACGAAGCUGGAUUCGCUAGUAAUCGCGCAUCAGCCACGGCGCGGUGAAUACGUUCCCGGGCCUUGUACACACCGCCCGUCAAGCCAUGGGAGCCGGGGGUACCUGAAGUGCGUAACCGCGAGGAGCGCCCUAGGGUAAAACUGGUGACUGGGGC
rnacentral:rRNA from 1 species